ACGCUCACCAGAAAGCAUCUAGAGGAAGCAUUUAAGGUGGCCAGGCUGGACCAAGUGCCGGCUGGAGCAGAGAGGGACCAGCAGAGGGCGCUGUGCAGACGUGCAGCGCCAGAUCUUUCCAAGACCAGCAACACAGACCCAGCAACGCCCGGAGCCCACACCCAGGGCUGAGCCAGGGACAGAGAUCUCUCUUUCUGAAUCAAAUUAGUUUCCUUCCCUUGAGACCAAGGAACACAGAGAAUAUUUUUCAGGAAGCAGUGGAGAGUGAAGCUUGCCUCUUGCAAAAUCUUUAAUGCUUGCGGCUUGCUUUUUCUUCCAUAAAACUUCCUUUUGCCACAAUGGAUAUUGAGAGGCAGUGCAGCAAAAUGGUAGAGCAGAGAAAGUGAUGUGCAAUCCCCGCUUUAUCCCUUAUUAGAGGUGCAGCUUUACUCUGAGCUUCCUUUUUGCCUUCCGUACGCCGGAGACGUAGGCUGUUUCAGGUCUGUUCUGAAGACUAAAGAGAAUGAAUAGAAAAGCAGGUGCCCGAGCCUGAUGAAUUCCCUUGCUAACAAACUGCUGCCUCCUGCCGAGACCCGUGUGUCUCCCACGGGGCUGAAUUGCCCUGCCUCUGCCCAGCACAGCUCUGGGUGCCCAGGGGGCACAAGGGCCUCCCUGGACCUCAGCAGCAGCACAAGACGGUGUUCACACUGCAAAGUUUGAGUCAGUGUAACCCAUGAGGAGUGAGGAAUCUGCCAUCAAGAGGAGCCCCAAACCAUGAGGCAGAGGAGGGUCCUGUUGACCUCGGGGCUCAGUCUCCCAGUGUUGGUGCACUCCGCUUUGGGCUGAGUUGUGUCCCCCCAAUUCAUGUUGAAACCCUAAUUGCCAGUGUGACUGUGUUUGGAGGUAAUUACAGUUAAAUGAAGUCAUAGGAGUGAGGCCCUAAAGUGAUAAGGACUGAUAUCCUUCUAAGAAGAGGAAAAGAUUCCAGAGACAGAGAGAAGGUCAUGUGGGGACACAGUGAGAAGCUGCCAUCUAAGAGUCAGGCUGAGGCCUCACCAGAAACCAGCCAUGUCAGCACCUUGAUCUUGGACUUCCAGCCACCAAAACCGUGAGAAAAUAAAUGUCUGCUAUUAAGCCACGUAGUCGCGUUGUGAUGUUGCAGCAACCUGAGAAGAGUGAUGUAUGCUACAGUG